UUUUUUUGAGAUGGUGGUGGUUGUGAUUUGGAACACAAAAAUUCGGUUUAUACAAACCGAAAAAUACACACUUCGGUUUUUAGAAAUCAAAAAUAGAUGUACAGUGAAAUUCAAAAAUCUUUAAUUGAUGGAGUUAAGGAAUAAAGUUAGGUUCAUGUUGUAGAUAGUGAAAAAUGGUGAAUGUUUAAUGAAGGAGGUUUGGUGUUCUGAGAUAAAGAUUGCUUAAAGUAU
rnacentral:lncRNA from 1 species